AACGAAAUAUUCUGUCUUCUCUAUCCUCUCGUCGCUCUCCCCUGCCGAUUACCGUUGCCGUGUGCGCCUGUUCUUAUCCAGCCGUCGCCUGAGGUUCUUCAAGAAAAUCCGGCCGCCGCUGUUGAAGAUUUUUCUACGCGCGCGCUCCUAUCCUCAGUCGCCGCUCAAGCCGCCGCCCUGGAUUCCUACAAAUCCCGCCGGAGUUCCGCUCGGUGUUCCCCUCCCCGGUCGUGAGCUCGCGAGGUUCCCUGGCGUGCAGGCUUCUUCUCCACCGCGAUCCUCUGCUGCCUGCUCGCCCCUGACCUCCCAUGGAGCGCUCCUCUCUCCUCCCCAGCCGAGGCCCUUCCUUCCCGUGGUCUCCCAUGGCGCACCUUGAGCCUCACGCGGCCGCACCUGGCCAGAUUUCCCAGCCGUAGCCCCUUCUCUGCGCGUGUCCUCU
rnacentral:misc_RNA from 1 species